AAUUUCGAAGAGCAGCCAUUUUUCAGCUCCAAGAAAAGAGCUAGCUAAGAAAAAGAUUUCUCGAACUCAAAAGAGAACGAGCAGUAGCUUCGACCUCACUCUAAAAUUGACCCCCAAUCUUUCCUUUUAAAACCGUGCCUCCAAUCUUCCCCUUUCCUAAAACCCAAAUAAUUGAUGUCGUCAUCUCAUAUUCACAAAAUUGAUCGGAUUGCAAAUCACACUCUCGAAGUUCAAAGUCGCACUCGAUUAGUGAUAAGCAAAUAUCAGUGUGACGCCAAAAAUUGAAAGGGGAGAAGCAAUAACAAAGAAAUGGAAAACGGCAAAUAAAGAAAACGGAGGAGAUUUCUAUGGUUUGAUUAAUUCUUAAUCAAGUUUCAAGGAAAGAAAAUCAGAAAAAAUACCAAAAUAAAAUACAUUUUAGCCCCUUUCUUCUGAUUUCGGUUUAGUUAGUCGAUUGAGUUUGAGGUUGGCUUGAAUUUAUCACUGGAGUUUGCUCCCUUUGGCUUCGAGCUUUCGGGUGCCGAUUCGAAUGCCCGGCCGCGGUUCGUCGCAUUUCUGAGUUCAAAGCUACCGCACAAUUAAUUUUCUGAGUCAUUUGAGGUUCGUUUCUCAUUUUCUUAUACUCUGUUGCUUAAUAUCACGACCCCAUUGUUUUAUUAGUUUAUCCUUGUUCUGUUUGGUUGAUAUUUGCUUACCUCAUUUAGUUGCUGAUUAUUGGUUGUAUGUUAUUUAGCUUAAUCUAUUUAGAUGAGUCUUGAUAGUUAAAAAUGAAUUUUUAUUCCAUGUUUUCACUGGUUAAUUAAGAGAGAAUUGUUUAAAGCCUCACAACUACUAUUUUGAUGGCCAAGGAAUUAAUUUGACAUAUAUCUAAGAGAUUGGCUGGAGUUUUCGCUACUUUGAAUGUGAGGAUUUGGACGUGUCGAAUGGAAAAAUUAAAUUUAUAAUUUUAAUUGUUUUACUUUUCUUGCUCGGUCCGCUAGUAGUAUGUUAUAGGUCGGCCACACUUCGGUAGACAAACUUUUCGGCGCGUAAGUAAAUCAUCAUAGCUACGGGUACGGUUCCCGUGACGUAGUUGUGAUACAUAAUUUCCAAAUUUGGGGCUACAUUUAUGUGACCCGGCCACAAUUUCUCAUAAUGAUAAUAAAAUUAAACAUGUUGUAGAUUGUGGGUACGGUUCCCGUGACGCGAUUCACAAUGUGUACCAAACAAACAAGUGUACGACAAUCGUAACUUGUUUAGAAUAAUUUUAUAAAUAAUUAAAAGCGGUAUAAGAAAUAAAAUACACAAUAGGUUUUAAAUAUGUAAUAAAUCAGAUAAUUAGGCCAAUUAUUAAUAGUUGCGCGACCGUACUAAAACCACGGAACACGGAAAUGCCUAACAUCUUCUCCCGGGUUAACAAAAUUCCUUAUCCGGAUUUCUGUGUUCGCAGACCUUAAAUAAGAGUCAAUUUCCUUGAUUUGGGAUUUUAAAUAAACCGGUGACUUGGGACACCAUAAUAAAUAUUUCAAGUGGCGACUUUGAAAAUAAAUAAAAAUAAUCCCAUGUCGGUUAUUGUCACUUUAAUUGGAAAAACUCCCAUAUACCGCCUUCAGGUGGUAGAAAAAGGAGGUGUGACACCAGCCUAAUGGCAGCUUCAGCCUGGCCUCGCCAGGCUAAGCUGGCCUUUGCCUGGCUCACCAGGUCUCUUUUUUUUACUGUGCUCGAGCACACUUUUAAUGUUUAAGUAUCCCUAUUGCUCUACUUUCAUCUCCAAUUCACCUACACAUAAAAUAGACUCCAUUACGCGCAAAUAAAGUGUAAUUUAUCAUUAAGGCAUGUAAAAUUCAAGGCACAUAAUGUGCUAAACCAUGAAUUAUAGCCACACAUCAAUACCCCACACUUAAACAUUGCUCGUCCUUGAGCAAUCAAACUACACUCAUGGACACAAAAUAUUAAGCAAUUCCCUUAACUCAUUAUACCAAGAAUCUUUAAAAUAGUUUAAGCACAAAGGUGUGACAUCCUCAUAUCAAGAAUCGACUCACAAAUACCAUGCCUUAUUCACAAUACACUUACUUACUCUAACAUGCAAGUCAACAAUAUUACCUUUCCUUUAUGAAUCAUGUGCCUUCACCCAAUCAAAGAGCUUAGUUCCACACACAAUAAAUUUUAAUAAUGUAGGAACUCAAGAUAGGAAAAAAUUCACUCGCUCUUAGAAAUAACCUUCAUAUGCCCUAAAUGACGCACCAUAAGCUUGCUCGUAGUGUAAUACUCCACUAAUCGAGUUUAUUCAGUCUAAGAUCAAAUAAGACUUUUAUUGGUUGUAAUGUAGGUUGCAGGUCGGGUAGGAUACAUUUGGAUAUAAGUGACUACGCCUCCCUUAAGCAAUUUAAUACAAAUACUUUAACCUUCAAGCCCAUACUUAUGUCAAACCAAAACUCCACCUUAACUUCACUAUAAUUUACCCCUACUUCUUUAAGCACCAGUACAUCAAUAGCCACCACUAUCAGGAAUCAUUUUUCAUACACUACAACUAUAUAUAUUCUUUUUCUAUCUAAAUGACUUUUAUUGACACAUUUUUUUUCUUUCAAACGGUGCACCUUUCUCCUUAUUUCACUUGUUCCACUCAAAAUCCAACCCACCACCCCACGCUUUAAUUUUUCCAUAAUUCCUCAUAAUUCAAGUGCUCAUGAGAGGUGACAAGGUUCAAAUAUAUGGUCGAUUCAAACAAAGGGGUACGACUUUUAAUGUGGUUACCAAAUAAACAUGAUUAUACGCUCAAAAGGGGUUAACUACGAUACAUAAUAUUUAGGUGGGUAUUCUAUAUAUAUCUGGCUUAGAAAAGAACCGCCUAUAUCACUUCUCAGACUGAACAAGACUACUAUUUUGUUUUGCACAUACACGGGGCAAGUUGUAGACAUCAAAUGCAAUGCAUAGAAUAUAUACAAACCUCACACAGACAUGACACAUAACUCAUUCAGGAUUGGUUUUUAUCACGACACUCCCGUCAAAGCAGUUAAGCAAAUUUAAGAAUCUACGAUUUAAGGUAUUUAUACUAGAGUCAAAAAUUGAGCCUAAGCGUCACAACCAGAGUACUGACUAUUCUCAAGGCAUCAAAAAGCUCAGAGAUAUUGCUGCGAUUAAAUGCAUAGCCACGUGAUUUCUACCCCAAAAAAGUUAAAACUAACUACAUCCGGUUCAACUAAAAAUCCUUGGAAAGGAACCGCGACCCAAAGAAAAACCAAGGGGGAAUUACUACACUACCUAAUUUUUUUUUGGUAUUUUCUUUAGACUUACUUCCCUCAAGAAAACUGUCUAGGAGAUCCAUCAUUGGAAAAAGUCCAACAUUUUUAAAUAUUUUUUUUUUCAUAUUUUCUGCCUAAAAACAACUAACAAAAAACAGGAAUAAAAAAAAAUUCUAAAAAUCAAAACAAAUAACUAAAAUAAUUAGCUAACGUAAACGACACUUACUACAACAACAAAAACAGAUAACAACUACUAAUAUCUACAAAUUCUCACCCCACACUUAAAUCAUGAAUUGUCCUCAGUGCAUGUACAAUUUGACAAAACAAGAAAGAAAAAGAGUAGGGUGCAAGGAAACUCCCUGAUCAAGCAACGUCUUCAUCCUCUGACGCUCUCCACUCUUCAUCAUGUUCGUCCUCCUUAUCGUCAUCAUCUCCCUCACCAUCUAACUGCUCAGUCUCAGCCUCAGAUUGCUCCGGUGUGUUGAUAUCCUCAUCAUCGAGGAGUCUGUAUCCAUCUCCUACUCCAAAUAUUGUUGGGCAUGAGCAUUGAGCGGGUACCGCUGCUCCAAUUCAGUCCUCUCCUCAGAUGUGGCCGGGUGACCCCCUAUCCGCAGCUGCAAAUCCAUCAUCCCAUAGAGAUGGGUCAUAAAAUUAUCAUCAUGUGCAUUGUGCUCAGCACAUGUCAAUGAAGGCAUAACAGUCUCAUCUUUUAGCCGGAGAUUAGUGAUGUCCGUUUGUCGGAUGGGCUGAUCGAUGGUGUGGUCAAACUCAGGCUCCUCCUCAACCCCCUUGUACUGUAAGAAUUGGGUCAAUAAAUUAGGAAAUGGCAUUCGAUCUAUUUUCUUACUCGUUCUCACUAAUAACAUGUGGUAGCGGAUCAAAUGACCCACAUUCACCCUCUGACCUAUCAUAAGGAAGUAUAGAAUACAUGUCCUCUCACGGCUCACAAGCGUGUCAUGAUUGCAAGGUAGGAGCCGUGCAUUUAUCAGCUUAAGCCACACCUGAGCCUCCGCCUUCAUCUUCUUCUUAGUGAACCUCUUGUGACGAUUUGUUACCUUAUCCCAAACCAGUGCAGCCGUAGAGUUGACACCACAAAGCGUGUGCCGCAACUCUCUAUAUGUAGGCCGAUGAAUGAAUUGGUCCAAUGGCUCUACACGAACAUUUGGUGCACCUAAAAAGUCGCAUAUGGCCUUGGCUGAAAAAUUUACAAGCUUCCACGAAUUGGCACCAGCUGCUCCGUGUCCGGUGGGUCAAACCUUGCAUAGAAUUCCCGGAUUAGGUUGAGAUUGAUGUCUCUUGUGUUCUUAAAAACAUAGCUUAACCCCAAAUUCUGGAUGCCUUUCCAAAUUGCCGGAUACUUCGCUUUCAUGCUGCGUUCCUGGAUGGCUGCUUCUGGAUGGACAUGUUUAGGCCUACAUCGCCUAUACCAAUCCCUCAUAUGCGGAGAUAUGCUGUUUAUGCCAAACUCCUAUUGUCCUUGGGGUUGUGGACGCAUGGCAGCUACAACUGCCACAGCUUGUGCUCCACUCAGACUAAAGGUAACUUCUCCCCCUUUUCUCUUCUUUGGAGGAGGUGCGGAGGUCGCCUUUGCUUUAGCUUGGGCAGUUGAAGUGGCCUUUCCUUUGCCUGUUUAUUUUAUGGGAGGUAUCUUCAUUCCUACACAAAUAAGCAGUAGUCGAAUAGUGCUGCAUUACACACUACACACAUAAUCUUGCCCAACUUGCCGAGGUUCCUUAUACUUCACCUCGUAUUUUCUUAAUAUUAGAAUCAAACAACAACACAUGGGCUACCCGUGAGCCACCCCACACUUAAAAUGUUAACGUGCUGCACGAUUACAUAACACUAGUUUAUUAAUCCAGGAGACUCGGGCUCCAAUGGGGAAAAGGAAUGCCAUUGAGGUAUUAUAUCAAACACUUAACAAACACUAGUGCCAUAAGAGUGCUUAUGGAGAUGAGGGAUUGCCUCAUCCUCCCAAAUUGGCUUGGGGGUUUUGUACUACCACAUAUUUUAACAAUCGCAACACCAUUCUUAUGGGGUUCAUGGGGUUGGGGCACACAAUCACAAUACUACAAUGAAGAACAACCACCAACUUUUGUGUGUAAUUGUAUACCUGUACCCAACUUGAAAUUGUAAGGAAAAGAGAUAAAAUCAUACCUUUGAAGCUUUUGAGAGGAGGAAGCCUGAGAAUUUUUGAUGAGUGUGAAGAAUAGCAAGACCAAGAUUGACAUCAACGGGGAUGGAAAAGACAACUAUGGUAAUGUUCUAAUGAGUGUGUGGGGGUGAGCAAAUCGUGCAAUGUGUUUGGUUGGGAGCAAAGCUGAUGAGCAGAUGUGUGUGUUUAUGAAUUUUCUAUUAGAGCUUGAUGUGUGUUUGGGGGAAGGUAGGUUAGGGUUAGUUGUUUUUUUUUUUGUAUUUUGGUCAAGUUUAGGGCGUGUAAGGGAGGGGGUUCGACUAAAAUAAGAGAAGAGCAAUUAAUUAGGCCUAAAAAACUUACCUGGCAUCGCCAGGCCCAGUACCUGGCGUUACUCAGGCGUUGCAAGCCUAUCACCAGCCUUACUUGGCUUUACACAUGCGUCGCCAGCCUAAGGCCUGGUGUACCUGGCGUUAGCUAGGCGUCGCAAGCUGUAACGACCCGGCCGGUCGUUUCAUGAGUUACCGCUCUGUUUUCCCUAUUUUUGCUUCUUUAUAUCUUGUUCAACUGUAUUAUGUGGCAUCAUGUUGGUUAGUUUAGGUUCGGAGAGGUUUUGUAGAGAAAUGAGACACUUAGUCUCUUAAGUUGACCUUUUAGUUGGAAAGUCAAUUGAAAGUUGACUUGUGGGUAAACGAUUCUGAAUUUGGUUUUUAUGAUUCGGAUAGCUUAGGGAGGUUAUUUGGGACUUAGGAGCGUGAUCGGAAUGUGCUUUGGAGGUCCGGAGUAGAUUUAGGCUUGAAUUGGCAAAAUUGGAAUUUUGGUGUUUUCCGGUUGAUAGGGAAAAUUUUGAUAUAUGGGUCGGAAUGGAAUUCCGGAAGUUGGAGUAGGUCUGUUGUGUAAUUUGAGAUGUGUGUGCAAAAUUUCAGGUCAUUCGGAUGAGGUUUGAUAGACGUUUUGAUAAAAAGCAGAAUUUGGAAGUUUUUGGAACCCCUAGUCUUGAAUCCGAUGACGAUUUGAUGUUUUGAUGUUGUUGUGAGUGUUCCGAAGGUUGAAAAAGUUUGAAUGAUAUUAUGGGAUAUGUUGGCAUGUUUUUUUGAGGUCCCGAGGGCUUCGGGUGAGUUUCGGGUGGUUAAACAGAUCAAAUCUUGUUGUGGGGAGUUGAAGAUUUUCUGCUGUUGGUGUUGCAGAGUUUUGGCCUUCGCGUUCACGAGAGGGCUCUCACGUUCACGAAGGGAUGAGAAGUGAGGCAGUCAAUUUGGCCUUCGCAUUCACAAUGUUGGUCCCACAUUUGCGAAGGGUGAGGUUCAGUGUGCUUCACGAGCGCGAUGAGGUUCCCGCGUUUCGUGUAGAGUAAAUGGGAGCAACCGGGGUCCUAGUCUUUUGUGCUUCGCGUUAGGGAGGUCAUGUUCACGAUGGUCUAGAAAGCGGAAGCUCCGCAUUCGCGAGCUGGAGGUCACGUUCGCGUAAGAGGAAUUAAUGGUCAAUGAGUUUUUGUGCUUCUUGAACGCGAGGCUUUGACCGCGUUCACGAAGAAGGAAAGGGUCACAUGGACAGAAUGUUUAAAUAGCCAUUUUUCGCGAUUUUGGGUCUAACUUCCACCAUUUUUUGAGCGAUUUUGGAGCUUUUUGAGAAGAAUUGAAGAGGGAAUCAAAGAGAAACACUUGGAGGUAAGAUUUAUGGACUUAAUACUCGAUCCUAUUUUGAUUUCUACCUAAUUAAACAUGAAAUUUGUGGAAUCUAAAGCCUAAAAUUGGGGAGUUAGGGCUUGGAAUUUUAGACUUUGAUUUGAGAAUUUGAGGGGUCGUUUGUGGUCCAUUUUUGAUGUAUUUGAUAUGUAUGAAUUCGUGAGAGUGUAAAGAUUCUAGUUUUGUGAUUUUUAUCAGAAUCCGAGUCGUGGGUCCGGGUGUUGAGUUUGACCAAUUUCGAGAUUUUUGAUGUAAAUUGGUUAUUUCAAGUGAGCUCUGUUCCAUUUAGCAUAUUUUGAUAGUAUAAAUCUAUUUUUGGUUAGAUUUGGAGCAUUCGGAGGCCAAGUCGAGAGGAAAAGGC
rnacentral:lncRNA from 1 species